UUAUGAUCAAUAUAGAAGGAAAUGGUAUAGACCGUACGUGACCUCCAUAUGAUUGGGAUUUCCACUGUUCCGGUUCAAGAGGUCAAGGAAAUGGUACGGACCAGAAGGUGACCUCAAGACAACCGGCACUUUGACCUGGAUCAGGUUACCAUGUUUGACUGUAGAAAUGUUUAAAAAAUGAAACACAGGUUUUCAUAUUCAUAAAGAUCUUAAUGAUGAUAACAUAACAUUUAAAAGCUUACGCUCACUAGGUUCACCGUAACAGAAAGAAAUACUCCCUACAGAUAAUUCUAGAAAUGAUAUGAUUUACAGGGUCUGUUGUCAAGGUAAUAUGAAAGUUUUACUUUUUCAGAUGAACUUAUCAAAUGAAGGUCAAGUUUACUGCCCGAGCUUAUGAAUCAGUUCGGUACACUUUGUACAGUCUUAUAUAUACAUCUAGUGGCAUCAUAUUAUUGUUCUUACAGGGCACUCAUUUGAUCAAAUGAAUAACCUGGUAGAGUGAGUGAGUUUAGUUUUACGUCGCACUCAGCAAUAUUCCAGCUAUAUGGCGGCUGUUGGUGGAGAGGGAUUAUGAACAGGAUGAGCAGAAUAGUAUUAGGGUUUAGAAAUUACUGUGAUAAAAGGCUUGUGAGUCACCUUUAAACAGCUAAGUUAAAACACAAAUGAGUCUAAAAUAUUCAAUUAUAUUUUGAAUAAAAGAUAAACAAGGUUACAAUGAAUGACAGUGCACAUUUCUAAUGCAAUACGAUUGGGUCACAAAUCUAAAAUAUUAACUUAAUGUCAAUAGUGACCAAAGUUUUGAUCCUUGUAGAUAUACUGAUUGAAGUUUGUUGACAGCUGUUGAAAGUUCAAUAUAGACGAGGCCUCUUGAGUGGUCAGUCUUCAAACCUUGAUGUUACCAGACAGAUGAGCGUAAAUCCAAAGUUGUUCCCCUUAUACAUAUCAGGGUACACCUGCAGAAUACCGGAUACCUACCAGCCAUAUUGUUUAGUGUCACAUCACCCUAUUCCUAAGGCUAACCCUAAACCUUACCCUAACCCUAACCAAAA